rnacentral:lncRNA from 1 species
UGGCGGGUUUAUCGGCGCGCGUGACUCGUUGUCAAACGCGAUUACAAGUGGCGAAGGGCUGAAAUCAAGUUAACACCAUGCUAAAGCAUAACUAGGGCAUAACUUCGAGCCUGCUUGCCAUGCUAUGGUUCAUAGUGCAUGCCAUAGUGCAUGCCAUCGCAACUGUUUGUGAACACGACCGAACUUCAUGCGUCGCGUGGUCGUGCGUCGUUCCGCGCGCACAGGCCGCCUUUACGGAAACGCUAGCGGAACUGGAGUGCAUUCUCUUUGAACUUUCUCAUCUACGCGGGGCCGAGUGGUGGCACAGCAGCACUAGAAGGAACGGAAAGCAAGAGCAGCCCUUCUCAUCUACGCGGGGCCGAGUGGUGGCACAGCAGCACUAGAAGGAACGGAAAGCAAGAGCAGCCCUUCUCGUCUCCCCAUCGUCGCCGGGUGCUGCUAGUUUGGACAAUUUUCCUGUGUAUGUUUGCCAUCUCUGCAGCACAGCCAUACACAUUACAGCCAAAAUGUUUGUAAUGUCUUGCAUUCUUUAAACUAUUGCAGCAUGCACAAAAAUUUCCUGGCUUUAUUGGACAGAAUGAAUCCACAGUGAUUAGCAAAGUAUGCAAAUAGCUGCAUUGACCCUUUGACAUGCUGUGUACACAAUUGUGUGCACCACUUGUUCUUGCUAUUUGUUUCGACUAGGGGCUAAGAAAGAGCGAUAAAUA